rnacentral:rRNA from 1 species
GGCAAGCGUUGUCCGGAUUUAUUGGGCGUAAAGCGAGCGCAGGCGGAAAAAUAAGUCUGAUGUGAAAGCCCUCGGCUUAACCGAGGAACUGCAUCGGAAACUGUUUUUCUUGAGUGCAGAAGAGGAGAGUGGAACUCCAUGUGUAGCGGUGGAAUGCGUAGAUAUAUGGAAGAACACCAGUGGCGAAGGCGGCUCUCUGGUCUGCAACUGACGCUGAGGCUCGAAAGCAUGGGUAGCGAACAGGAUUAGAUACCCUGGUAGUCCAUGCCGUAAACGAUGAGUGCUAAGUGUUGGGAGGUUUCCGCCUCUCAGUGCUGCAGCUAACGCAUUAAGCACUCCGCCUGGGGAGUACGACCGCAAGGUUGAAACUCAAAGGAAUUGACGGGGGCCCGCACAAGCGGUGGAGCAUGUGGUUUAAUUCGAAGCAACGCGAAGAACCUUACCAGGUCUUGACAUCUAGUGCAAUCUGUAGAGAUACGGAGUUCCCUUCGGGGACGCUAAGACA